rnacentral:misc_RNA from 1 species
GAUGAAGAACGCAGCAAAAUGCAAUAAGUAAUGUGAAUUGCAGAAUUCAGUGAAUCAUCGAAUCUUUGAACGCACAUUGCGCCCGCCAGUAUUCUGGCGGGCAUGCCUGUUCGAGCGUCAUUUCAACCCUCAAGCACAGCUUGGUGUUGGGACUCGCGUUAAUUCGCGUUCCUCAAAUUGAUUGGCGGUCACGUCGAGCUUCCAUAGCGUAGUAGUAAAACCCUCGUUACUGGUAAUCGUCGCGGCCACGCCGUUAAACCCCAACUUCUGAAUGUUGACCUCGGAUCAGGUAGGAAUACCCGCUGAACUUAAGCAUAUCAAUAAGCGGAGGA